CCUUCACCAUGUCUGACGAGGAAGUUGAACAGGUGGAGGAGCAGUACGAAGAAGAAGAGGAAGCCCAGGAGGAAGCUGCAGAAGUCCAUGAGGAAGUUCAUGAACCAGAGGAAGUUCAAGAAGACACCGCAGAGGAGGACGCGGAAGAGGAGAAACCGAGACCCAAACUCACUGCUCCUAAGAUCCCAGAAGGGGAGAAAGUGGACUUCG
rnacentral:lncRNA from 1 species